UACGUAGGGGGCAAGCGUUGCUCGGAUUGACUGGGCGUAAAGGGCUCGUAGGUGGCCAACUAAGUCAGACGUGAAAUCCCUCGGCUUAACCGGGGAACUGCGUCUGAUACUGGAUGGCUUGAGGUUGGGAGAGGGAUGCGGAAUUCCAGGUGUAGCGGUGAAAUGCGUAGAUAUCUGGAGGAACACCGGUGGCGAAGGCGGCAUCCUGGACCAAUUCUGACGCUGAGGAGCGAAAGCCAGGGGAGCAAACGGG
rnacentral:rRNA from 1 species